rnacentral:rRNA from 1 species
UGUCUUUUUGAAGUUAAUUUAAAGUCUAAUCUGCCCACUGAUUUAAUAUUAAAGGGCUGCAGUAUUUUGACUGUACAAAGGUAGCAUAAUCAUUAGUCAUUUAAUUGAUGACUUGUAUGAAAGAUUGGAUGAAGUAUAAUCUGUCUCUUAAUUAAUAAGUAGAAUUUAAUUUUUUGAUUAAAAAGUUAAAAUAGUUUAAAAAGACGAGAAGACCCUAUAGAGUUUUAUAAAUAAAGUUAAUUAAUAUUAUUUAUAAAAAUUAAAUUAAAAUUUUUUUAUUUAUUAUAUUGGGGUGAUAGAAAAAUAUAUUUAACUUUUUUUUUAUUUAAAACAUCUAUAAGUGAUUAAAUGAUCCAAUAUUAUUGAUUAUAAGAAAAAAUUACCUUAGGGAUAACAGCGUAAUUUUUUUUUUUAGUCCGUAUAAGAAAGAGAGUUUGCGACCUCGAUGUUGGAUUAAGAUAAAAUUUAAAUGUAGAAG